GAUGAACGCUGGCGGCGUGCCUAAUACAUGCAAGUCGAGCGAACAGAUAAGGAGCUUGCUCCUUUGACGUUAGCGGCGGACGGGUGAGUAACACGUGGGUAACCUACCUAUAAGACUGGAAUAACUCCGGGAAACCGGGGCUAAUGCAGGAUAACAUGUUGAACCGCAUGGUUCUACAGUGAAAGGCGGCUUUGCUGUCACUUAUAGAUGGACCCGCGCCGUAUUAGCUAGUUGGUGAGGUAACGGCUCACCAAGGCAACGAUACGUAGCCGACCUGAGGGGGUGAUCGGCCACACUGGAACUGAGACACGGUCCAGACUCCUACGGGAGGCAGCAGUAGGGAAUCUUCCGCAAUGGGCGAAAGCCUGACGGAGCAACGCCGCGUGAGUGAUGAAGGUCUUCGGAUCGUAAAACUCUGUUAUUAGGGAAGAACAAAUGCGUAAGUAACUGUGCGCGUCUUGACGGUACCUAAUCAGAAAGCCACGGCUAACUACGUG
rnacentral:rRNA from 1 species